rnacentral:misc_RNA from 1 species
CGUCUCGAUCGUCAGGUCGCCACCUCCUAUUGGAGGUGGCUUCGGGCGGCCGGACCGUGUCCCGGGCAGCGUUGGGACGACGCAUGAGCGGCAAUCAGGAUAGGUUCCCUCUGCAGGCUCCGUGCUUCUCGCAUCGAACUGUGUUGGCCUGUCCGUUUCAUUUGUUCUCUCGCCCCUUUUCCCCUGUGGUCGGUUGCGAGCGAUGGGUGGGUUCCUGUGCUCGAGACCGGAUUUCGGUACUCGGAUUCAUUGCCGUCCGCGUCCUUGUUCCCUUUUUCCUCCUCCGCCUGCUGUGCGUUGGUGGUUGUGUUGCGGGCAUCGCCGCUCUCCGUCCGUGCGGUCGUCCUCCUGAGGUCGUCUCCGCUCGCGUCGGCGUGUCGGUGCCGUCCGCGUGCUCUGGGGUACGGUGAUAUCUCUUGUUAUCGCGCGGUCCUCUUCUGGCCGUUGCGAUCUCGACGUGUCGAAGCUUCCGUGCUUCCGCUCGGGUGACCCUCGUGCUUUCCCAGGCGCUCGCGGAGCCUCUCCUCUCCGCGUUCUUCCUUGGGUGGCUUCGAGGUCUACAAUGGUUUGCUACCUGG